AUUGAACGCUGGCGGCAGGCCUAACACAUGCAAGUCGAACGAGUGGCGGACGGGUGAGUAAUGUCUGGGAAACUGCCUGAUGGAGGGGGAUAACUACUGGAAACGGUAGCUAAUACCGCAUACCAUCAGAUGUGCCAAGAUGGGAGUAGCUAGUUGGUGGGGUAACGGUGCACCAAGGCGACGAUCCCUAGCUGGUCUGAGAGGAUGACCAGCCACACGGUAACUGAUACACGGUCCAGACGCCUACGGGAGGCAGCAGUGGGGAAUAUGGCACAAUGGGCGCAAGCCUGAUGCAGCCAUGCCGCGUGUAUGAAGAAGGCCUUCGGGUUGUAAAGUACGUUCAGCUGGGAGGCGUUACCCGCAGAAGAAGCACCGGCUAACUACGUGCCAGCAGCCGCGGUAAUUC
rnacentral:rRNA from 1 species